UUCAGAGCCGGCCGCACAUUCUACUAUUUUCUCGAGUCUGUGGUGUGCCUAUCUGCUCCCCACUGGAAGCUCUCCGAGGGCAGGAAUGGGGUGCCCAGGGCCUCUACAUCCCCAGGGCCUGUUAUGGGGCCCUUGCAAACUAUGGAACCUUCCUCGUGUCUGCGGAAUAAAUACACAGGUACCUGUGAUGGCCACCUUUUGGAUGUUACCCCCCUGCCCCAGCCUCCUUUGAGGGACCCCAGAGGCCACCUCCCAACAGCCCACUGGGGCCUGAACACAUUGAAGAACUCUGGGAUAUGGAGAUCAUUUGUGACCUGAUAGCAGAGAUCACCUCAGCAUUGUCA